AGGGAAGAAGAGGAAGGAAAGGAAAAGAAAAUAGAGAAGAAGAAGAAGAAGAGAGAGAAGGGGUUUUGUAUGUUAUGUCCUUUCCUUUACAGUCUGUAGUUACUCACUCCUACCAACCAACACUCUCCACCUGACCCUUAAACCGCCAUUUUUAACAGACUUUUCUCUUUUCUCCUUCUCUUCUUGUCUCUCCACAAACCCUAAUAAUCCCCUGAUUUCAUAUUUUCUAGGGUUUCCUGUUUUUUCUUGAAAUGUUUCAUUAGAGAGCAGAAUAGUUUUCUUGAAUUUGCUUCUUCUAAAUGAGUUUCACUUGUUGUUUCCGUUUCUUUCUUUUUCUUUACACUUCACUCUUGUUUUUCACUUUUUCUCCUUCUACUUCUGCUUCUCAAUCGGAGCUCCGAUCUUUACUCGAAUUUAAGAAAGGCAUAAGCUCCGACCCACUUAACAAAAUCCUCUCAACAUGGAACUUCUCUUCUCUGCCCGACUUAAACACCUGCCCCGCUGCGUGGCCAGGUAUCGCCUGCGACCCGACUACCGAUUUAAUCACCGCCAUUUCUCUAGACCGCCUGAGUCUCUCCGGCGACCUAAAGUUUUCAACAUUACUCAACCUAAAAUCCCUUCAAAAUCUAUCUCUUUCAGGUAACCGUUUCACAGGUCGGAUUGUACCCGCAUUAGGAUCCGUGAGCUCACUUCAGUACUUGGAUCUGUCUGACAAUAAUUUUUCUGGGCCGAUCCCGGGUCGGAUCGCGGAGUUAUGGAAUUUGAAGUAUGUAAAUUUAUCAAGAAAUGGUUUUGAAGGCGGGUUUCCAGUUGGAUUACCAGUACCAUUUAGGAAUUUGCAACAACUAAAGGUUUUGGAUUUGCGUUCUAAUAAGUUUGGAGGUAAUGUUGGUGAGGUUUUAAGUGAAUUGAUUAAUUUGGAGCAUUUGGAUUUGAGUGAUAAUGUGUUCUAUGGUCAGCUUGAUGGUCUUAGUGCAGAGAAUGUUUCUGGGUUGGCUAAUACGGUGCGGUUUGUCAACUUCAGUGGAAAUAAAUUGAAUGGUGGAUUUUUGAAAGAAGAGGUGAUUGGGUUAUUCAGGAAUUUGGAAGUUUUGGAUUUAAGUGAUAAUGGGAUUAAUGGGGAGUUACCUUCGCUUGGGUCUUUACUGAGUUUAAGGGUCUUGAGAUUGAAGAACAAUGAAUUGUUUGGUGGUAUACCGGAAGAAUUGUUGAACGGGUCGAUGCCAAUUGAAGAACUGGAUCUCAGUGGCAAUGGGUUUACAGGUUCUAUUCAUGGAAUUAACUCUACAACUCUAAAUACUUUGAUUCUCUCCUCAAAUGGAAUAUCAGGCUCUUUGCCAGCUUUUCUUAAGAGAUGUACAGUUAUAGAUCUGAGUAGAAAUAUGAUCUCCAGUGAUUUGUCUGUUAUGCAGAAUUGGGAAGCUAGUAUAGAGAUUCUUGAUUUGAGUUCAAACAUGUUGUCAGGAAGUUUGCCAAACUUAGCUUCUCAGUUUCCUAGGUUAAGCAAGCUUUCUCUUAGGAAUAACUCCCUUGAAGGUAAUUUGCCUCCUCAAUGGGGCGCCAGUUCCGGAUUGUCUGCAAUUGAUCUUAGUUUAAAUCAACUUAGUGGAACUAUUCCAAGUGGCUUCUUUACUUCAAUGGCUUUGACAAACCUGAAUCUUUCAAGAAAUCAGUUUACAGGGCCGAUUCCCCUGCAAGGUUCACAUGUCGGUGAAUUAUUAGUUUUACCUUCUUAUCCAAAGAUAGAUUCUCUUGAUCUUUCCCACAAUUCCUUAAGUGGUGGUUUAGUUUCAGAUAUAGGUAAUAUGGCAAGUCUCAAAUUGCUUAAUCUCUCAAACAAUGACCUGUCAGGAGAGCUGCCUAUUGAACUGAGCAAGCUUACCUACUUGCAGUACCUUGAUUUAUCUGGCAACAAAUUCAAGGGUAAAAUACCUGAUCAGCUUCCAUCUAGCUUAAUUGGGUUCAAUGUGUCUUAUAAUGAUCUAAGUGGUGUGGUUCCAAAAAACUUGAGAAAGUUUGGCAUUUCUUCAUUUCAGCCUGGAAAUUCGUUACUUAUCUUUCUGAAUGGAGGGUCAUCAACAAAUUCUGUUCCAGAUGAGCUUCCUGUUCAAGGCAGACAUCACGGCCCAAAGCAUCGUGUAACUAUAGGAAUUAUCAUCGGUGCAGUUGUAACUAUAGCGAUUUUGGUUUUUCUGGCCUAUCAUCGGGCACAGCAAAAGGAUUUUCAUGGAAGAAGUGAUUUUAGUGGCCAAACUACAAGGGAACAUGGUAAGGUUGAACCAUCUGCACGAUCUUCCCUUUUCAAAUUUCAAUCAAAUGUUCACCGUCCGCCAACUUCAUUGAGUUUUUCAAAUGAUCACUUGCUUACGACGAAUUCAAGGUCAUUAUCUGGGCAGACAGAAUUUGGAAAUGAAAUUGUCGAGCAUGAUUUACCUGGGGGUGUGGCAGUGGGUUCUGCACCUCCAAAUCUCAAUGUGAUAGAGAAUUGUCCCACUACAUCUGGAAGGAAGUCCUCCCCAGGUUCUCCAUUAACUUCCUCACCUCGUUUUAUUGAGCCACGUGAACAAUGUGUUAAGUUGGAUGUCUAUUCACCAGAUCGGUUAGCUGGAGAACUAUUCUUCCUUGAUGCAUCACUAGCAUUUACUGCAGAGGAGUUAUCACGAGCUCCAGCAGAAGUUCUCGGCAGAAGCAGCCAUGGAACUCUGUACAAAGCUACUCUUGAUGGUGGACAUAUGUUAACUGUGAAGUGGUUGCGGGUGGGAUUGGUUAAACAUAAAAAGGAAUUUGCUAAGGAAGUUAAGAGAAUAGGCUCUGUAAGACAUCCAAAUAUCGUUCCAUUGCGAGCAUAUUAUUGGGGCCCAAGAGAGCAAGAGAGGCUUCUUCUAGCAGACUAUAUCCAUGGGGACAGCUUAGCCUUACAUCUGUAUGUCAAAAAUUUCCUUGUGGUGGUGAAAUCUGGUUAUUGCUAUUCAGAAACUUAAUGGUGACUGAGGUGGGAAUCAAUUCGAAGGUAGGUGCUGGCUAUUUGUAUUCCUAAGGAAGCGCUAAGAUUAGGGCACAUUUGACGUAGAAGCCCCUCGGCAAAAUCCCUGGGAGGGGGAAGUUCCAUAAAUCGUGCAAGCGGCAGCGGCUAAUGCUUGGGUUGGUUCUGAGCUCUCACCGGUGCCUGCUGUGUGUUUUCUCACAUAUACAUGAAUAGAUUCGGUUGCAACUUUGAAUACAGAAUUCAAAGGGAUCCAAUAGGGAAUGAUACUCUGAAUCAUAGAACUAUCAUGAAAUAAACGAUCAACCAACAUUUAUCGAAUUUGAAACAGAGUCAGAAGAAAUGGUUCGAUCCUCUUAUUUUUCUUUCUCGAUCCUCCGGACCCAUUUUUUUCUAAUCCUUCAAUAAAAAGAUUUAUUCUCUUCAUAAAAAAAGGAUGUAGAACCAAUAAAGAUUUCUUUUUCGAUUCAUCCUUGGAGUUGAGUACCUCAUUCAAGAAUUGUUUUUGAUCCAAUCUGUAGGGAUCAAUAAAAGGGUGUCAUGUGUUUCUGCUUUUAGCUUCGAUGACAUUCCUUGGGAGGCUGGCAAUUAUGGAAACAGGGCUGAAGAUUAUACUGAUGCAGAUGCUAACAUCUAUGGUGGAGUUGGCUUGGCAUACGUGGCCCAGAAGUCAAUCCUUGAUUAUUACUGAUAGUUGACAGAAGAGUAUUAUAUACAGAUAAUUUAGAUAUUCUCUUUCUGACAGCAGACUUGGAGUAUUACAAAAAUCCUCAAUUUUGUCUAUACCUUUUCUGGGAGUAUUUCUUUUGUCAAUGGACGUAUGAAAUGAUAUUAGUACUAUGGUGUUUGAAUUGUCCUUGUUAGAAAAUUUGGCUUAAAGUCUUGAUACAGGAGCCAUGGUCUUGUUUGCACAUACUCGUGCUUAUAAAUUAUGUGCAGGAGCACCUCUCAGUUUCAUUGAUUUUUCUUUUCGUAAUUAUUUUAGUAUCUGAUCAAUAUAUGUA